rnacentral:lncRNA from 1 species
AAGAUGUCCAAGACAUCCACAGAGUCUAUUACAUAACCAUUGUCUUUAACAUAACUAUCAAAGUGCGGAGAAACGAAACGUAGAUGAUAAGCCUACACAUGCAACUGGCUGGGGUUUGCCACUAAGUAAACUAAAACUCGUCGUAAUCCUGGAACUCCUCGAAGUCCUCCAUGUUGCCAGCAUCACCUCCUGAGCACUGAGUAUAAUGAGGACAACCUGGGGUGGGGAUGGUGUGUAAAGCAAGGGUGAGUACACAUCAACGUACUCAACAAAUGUCCCGUUUGGCUAAAGUGGACUAGUUGUAUGUGGGGUUGAAAUUAAGCAGUUGAUUUUAGUUGGUCAAGUAUUUAUUAUUAUUAGUGGAGCCAAGUUUUAGUAAUAAACCCAGUUAUUACCCAAAAGUACUCCCUCAAAAGAGGAAAUACUAGAGAUCAGACUUAUAACAUCAUUGUUAACCAUCAUCAUAAAAGUAACCAGAAUUCUUCUAAUCAAAGAGGAUCCCAAGGCUGCUCUUAACCGUGAGCUCGGCUGAUAUACCAGUUUCUAACACUCUGCAGAGGUUGCACACUUUACCCAUGAGUCGUGAUCCCUUUCUAGCCUGGGUUGUACAGACCCGAUCUUCACUACCAAGGUGAAUGGCCAGGGAUACACUACAUAGCCUUUACAAAGACUCCCCUGGUGCGUAGCUGCUCGUUAGGUUUCGCUAGUCGUACAAACGCAGUACACCUCCCCAAGGUGGGUGACUAACAAAACCAAAUCGAAUGAACAUCUGCACCCCAACCUUGGCAGAGCGAGCACUACGCCCCGGCCCCCAUUGACGGCCCUCUGGCAAAGCCAACUAUACCCCCAGGUUCAUCUAAUUAAUCAGCUAAGGGUGUCCCAUUCCACCCUCAUGGUUGCACUGUUAUCCCGGGUGGUCACUCCAUGAACAGGUCCUUACGGAGAGGUACUCAGGAAAAAGGCCUGAGCCCCCUAGAUUAUCACAAGAUCAUCAACAUAAUCCGGAUAACAGUAUCGUAUCAUAAAUGUUCACAUCAUGUUCAUUGAUUAAAGUUAAGGCAAUUGCAAAAUGCUAACCAUGAUAACCUAAAAGGUAAACAAGGAUAAGGUACAUACAAACUAGUCAAUCCUUAGGCUUAGAUAAUGUAAUGCGGGACAGUGAAUCAUAAAGUAUGUAGGACAUAAUAGGUCAGAGGACACUUGCCUUCACCAGGUUGUUGCUCAGGAAGGUCUCCAACAACACACUCAGGAACCUCGGACUGCUUGUUGUCUAAAUAAAGCGAGCAUGCAUUCAAUACACUUGGAAAGUACAAAUGAACAACACACCAAACAUGUACAAACAUAGGAAUGCAUCUUAAAAAGACACAAUAUUACAUAAGGAAAAAUGAGAUCAAAGUAUAACAUAAACUAUAACAUAAACUAACUUCAUUUGGAAAUAGAUUAUUAUUUCUCUAAGUGUUAUUCACAAAUACAUAACAUAGUUCAAUUUAUUUUAUUGUGACCUAAAAAUUAGACCAGAGAUGAUUUCAUGCAAUACACAUUAUUAAUCUCACAAGAUUAAACAUGUUUAAAUCUCUAGGGUUAUCCUUUUAUUUAUUUCAUUAAAUAAAUAAAUCUACACCUACAUUAUUUCAUACUUAAUCAUAAAAAUUAGAAUGUGCAGAUAGUAACUGGAACUAAUUUAUUUAAACAGAGAUUAAUCCUAUGAACAUUUUGCAAUCUGAAUCACUAAUUUUGGAGCUCAUAUGCAAAAGAUAUGAAAUAAACAAGUUUGGGAAUUCAAAAUAUGAAAUUAGGUCUAAUUUUGUGAAUAUUUAAAAGUCUAGGGUUCAAUCUGCAAGAAUACAGGGGCUUGGGCGCGUAAACCAGGGACGGCGGGUUGAUUCUAAACAAACCGAGGGUCUUUUUAAUAAAACUACCGCGCGAAGGGGUACCGGGCGAUUCUAACCGUUAGAUCAGAAACUGACAACCGAGAUUAGAUCUGCACCGAGGGCGCGCGUGCGGGGACGGGCGAGCGCUGACAGGCGGGCCAGGGGGUGUCAGCGACAGAGGGGGAGGGCGCACUGACCAAGCGGGCCCAGCGUCAGGGAACAUGGGCGCUGACAGGCGAGCCAGGGGCGUAGGGCGCGCAUGCGCGAAGCGGUAUCCGCGAUCUAGGUCGUGCGAUUAAGGUCGACGGGGGAGAUUAGACCAGAGAGGGACGAACGGCUGCGGGCGGUGAGGUUGCCAUAGUUGUGGUAGGCGUGUGCUAGGGUGGUUCCAGGGUCACCGGGAUUGGGCAGAGAGGGAGCGAACGCCACGACGAACUCAAUGGCGAGGAAGAGGCCACGAAUCCAAGGGCAGAGAGGGGAGAACAGCGGGGAGAAGGCCUCGGACGAACCGGAGAAACUUCGGUGAGGGAUUCUGGCGACAGGGAGGGGGCUUGAGGCGCGCUAAGGCCUGGGAAGGCUUCAGUAGAGGCAAGGGUGACACGAGGACCUACACCGGGGAACUAGACCGGGCUAAAUUGGUCGGCCACCACGCGAGCACGAUGGACCGCCACGGCCGAGCACCGGCGAUGCCAAAAUUGGUCGAGCACAGGGCGGAACUAGGGAAAUUAAGCACGGGCAAAGGUGUCUCACCUCGGGGCGGAGCUCGGGGAGGCUUGGCUCGGUCUCCGGCAAACUAGAUGGUCGGGAACGUGGGCGCGGGUCUCCGGCGGCGUCCGGUGGCGAGGGCAGAGCGCGAGAGAGGGUGAUGCUGUGCGAAAUGAGGUGGGGGAGCGAGUGCGGGCACUGGCGGGGCUCUAAGAGGGGAGCUGGGCACGUGGGCGGGGGUCGUGCCGAGAAAUCCGGCGAUGUGCGCGAGUGUGCACGCGCUGGUCAAUUGCGAGCGCGGGGAGGGCGGAACUGACAGGGAGGGUCCACGGCGUAGAGAGAGAAGAGGGACGCGCGGGGCAACGGCUCAGCGCCUAGCGAACCGGGCCCGCGAGAUAGAAAGAGAGAGGAGGGACGCACGCGGGCGAAGCAACUGGCGCCGACAGGUCGGCCCCAGCGGAGAGAGAGCGCGCGAGAGAGAAAGCCGCUGCUGACAGGCGGCGCGGGCGCGUGACCUGGCUGGGCCGAGCUGGGCUGCUUUGCGUUUUUCCUUUUCUCUAGAUUUUCUAAUUCCUUUUCUAUAGGGUUUUCAAUUCCAAAUUCAAAUUAGGUUUCAAAUUCAAAUAAAUUCAAACAUGUGCAACACUUCAAAGAAUAUUUUAAGCUCAGCAUGAUGCAACAUGUCAUGACCCAUAAUGUUUUGGCAAAAAUAAAUAAUUAAAUCCCCCUAACUUUAAGCUAAUUCUACCUAAAAGGGAAUAAAGGAAGAGAGGAUCUGGAGAGAGAAAAGAGUAACAUAUGAAUUUGGGUGAUCAUUAGCAAGAAAGUUUAUACCCCCAAAAUCAAGGUGUUACAGGUGAGGUGUGCGAGCCUCUGGUCGAUGAUCAAUGGCAACACAACCCCAUUUUGUCGAAUAUAGCCAAGAACGAUCAUUUUCAACAAUACCGAAGGCUAACAACUACAGAUUUUUGACAAAGAACUGGUCUCCAACAGAAAUCCAAUAAUGUGACCUAUGGAAAGGAAACAUAUGUGGGAUGAGGUGUACGAACCUCUGGUCCAGGAUGAAUGGCCAUCCAACCCCCAUUUUUGUCGAAAAAAGCCAUGAAUGACCAUUUUCAAUAAUACCAAAGGCUAACACCUAUAGAUUUUUUUACCAAGAAAUGGCCUCCACCAAAAAUCCAAGAAUGUGACCUAUGGCAAGGAAACAUAUGUGGGGUGACAUGUACGAGUCUCUAGUCGAUGAUCAAUGUCCACACAACCCCCUUUUUGUCGAAAAUAACCAUGAACGACAAUUUUCAAUAAUAUCAAAGGCUAACACCUACGGAUGUUUGACCAAGAAAAGGUCUCCACCAGAAAUCCAAGAAUGUGACCUACGGCAAGAAAACAUAUGAGGGGUGAGGUGUACGAGCCUCUGGUCUAUAAUGAAUGGCCAUUCAACACCCAUUUGUCGAAAAUAGCCUUGAAUGAUCAUUUUCAAUAAUACCGAAGGCUAACACCUACAGAUUUUUUUUAACAAGAAAUGGUCUCCAGCCAAAAUCCAAGAAUGUGACCUAUGGCAAGGAAACAUAUGUGUGGUGAAGUGAAUGAGCCUCUUGUCAAUGAUCAAUGGCCACACAACACCCAUUUUGUCGAAAAUAGCCAUUAACGACCAUUUUGAAUAAUACCGAAGGCUAACACCUACAGAUUUUUGACAAAGAACUGGUCUCCACCAAAAAUCCAAUAACGUGACCUAUGGCAAGUAAACAUAUGUGGGGUGACGUGUACGAGCCUCUGGUUGAUGAUCAAUGGCCACACCACCCCCAUUCUUAUCGAAAAUGGUCUCCAGCCAAAAUCCAUGAAUAUGACCUAUGGCAAGGAAACAUAUGUGGGGUGAGGUGUAUGAGCCUCUAGUCGAUGAUCAAUGGCAACACAACCCUAUUUUUGUCGAAAAUAGCCAUGAACAAUCAUUUUCAAUUAUACCGAAGUCUAACGCCUACAGAUUUUUGACAAAGAACUGGUCUCCACCAGAAAUCCAAUAAUUUGACCUAUGGCAAGGAAACAUAUAUGGUGAGGUGUAUGAGCCUCUGGUCCAUGAUGAUUGGCCACACAACCCCCAUUUUGACGAAAAUUGCCAUAAACGACCAUUUUCAAUAAUACCAAAGGCUAAAAUCUACGAAUUUUUGACCAAGAAAAGGUCUUCACCAUAAAUCCAAGAAUGUUACCUAUGGCAAAGAAACAUAUGUGGGGUGAGGUGUAUGUGCCUCUGGUUGAUGAUCAAUGGCAACAUAACCAAAGGCUAACAUCUACGGAUUUUUGACCAAGAAAUGGUCUCCACCUGAAAUCUAGAUCUGUCACACCCGGUUUUAGAAGGAAAACCGAAUGCGAACGAUGUACGUGUCAGGAUCAGCAAUUCACGUACACAGCAGUUACAUAAUGGGACAUCAUCACACAGUGCUCAAAUAAUAACAUAAAAGAGUAUUAAUUUGAUUACAUCAUGAUGCCCGAGACAUCCACUUAGUCAUUAACAUAGAUCAAAGUGCGAAAACAAAACGUAGCAAUACACGGCCUUCACAGGCAGCCGACUGGGGUUUGCCGCUAACCCACGCCUAGAACUUGUCAUAAUCUUGGAACUCCUAAAAAUCCUCCACCACGACUUCAUCUUAUCCUGAGCAGUGGUUGCAAUGCGGACAACCUGGUGGGUUUGGUGUUGUAAAGCAAGGGUGAGUACACAUCAACAUACUCAGCAAUUGUCCCAUUUGGUUGAGGUGGACUGGCUUUAUAUGAGGUUAGGAUCAAAGCAGUUGCUUUUAGUUGGUCAGGUAAUUAUUACUAGUAGAGAGUCAGGUUUUAGCAUUAAACCCAAGUUAUUAGCUCAAAAGUACUCCUUCCAAACGGAAAGAAUACCUGAAACCAUAAUAAUAGUCAUAACUAUCAAAACCAUAAUUAACCUUAUCAUCAUAUGUGAUCAUAGUAUCUCUAAUCAAAGGAGCUCCCAAGGCCGCUCAUAAUCAUGAGCACGGCCGAUAUAUCAGUUUUAUAACACUCUGCAGAGGCUGCACACUUUACCCAUGAGCUGUGAUUCCUUUUUGCCUAGGGCCGAUCAAGCCCUUAAACACUAGCAAGGUGAGUAGGCAAGGUUUCACUUCGUAGCCUUUACGAAGAUUCAUCGAGAUGCAGUCGCCUGUUAGGUUUCCUAAAUGUACUGCACUCCUCCCCAAUGGGAAACCCAUCCUCGGCAGAGCGAGCCGCAUACAUCGAGCCCUAUUAACGGCAUGGCAGCGAAGCAAACUACACCUCAGUUCCUCUAAUUAAUUAGCUAAGGGUGUCCCAUUCCACCCUCAUGGUUGUACUGUUAUCCCGGGUGGUCAUCCAACGAACCAGUCAUUACGGAGAGGCACUCGAGAAACCGCUCGAGCCCCCUUAAGUAUCAUAAUGCCAUCAUCAUAUCCAGAAGUAAGCAUCAUAUCAUAAAUAAUCUCAUGUUCAUUAAUUAUAGUAAAGCGCUAGCAUAGAGCUAAUCCAAAAAUAAUCCAACCCAAAUAGGUGAACAAGGACAAGAUAAACAAAUACGUACAAAUUAUGUAAACGCGGGGGAUGAAUUAUAAAAUGAGUAGGACAUAAGUAGGUCAGAGGACACUUGCCUUCACCAACCAGCUGCUGCUUAGGGUCUUCGCCUGCAACUUCCUCGGACUCCGCAAACGGACCAUUAUCUAUGCGAGUGCAAACAUACAUUCACAUCCUUAAAUUAGAAAAUAAACAGUACACCAUACAAGAAAGCAGAUCAAUUAAACAUGCGCGUGACAUAUAGUUUGCAUUUAUGAUUACGUGAGAGAGAAAGGAAUCGCAACGGCUAAAGUUAUGGUCAAGAGCUAUUACAUGUAUGCUACGCAAUUAAUCAUUAUAACAUCUUAUUCGACCUAGUCAUACUAACAGGUAUUUAUCACAUGCACCGAUAGAAUUACACUUCGUUUCGAUUGGCUUACUAUUCAGUUACUCAUCAUUUAAUUACAUAUUUAAUUAUCAUGAGCGACUCUAGGUGAAGUGAAUUAUUGACAUGUAAUCCACGCACGCGAUGACGACGUGUGAACAAGCGAUGGAUGCGAUGACGGGGCUAUGGACAAGCAGGGGUAGACGAACGUCGCCGGAACCCCAAUGGCGUGUCGCGGGCACACGAAUGCGAGCGUGAACAGAGAAAGCGUGAUUUGGGGUUCUCAUGCACAUGUGGGUUGGUGAACGUGUCAUGCGGAAAAAUGUCGUGAACCGAUGUGGACAGGGACAGGAGCCACGCAGACCACACCGAGGGCACACGCUCGUGGCCACGCUGGGGCUACGAGUUGGCCACGUCGCGUCGGGGUGCGCUGGUCGUGCCACACCGAGACGCAGGCCGCGAGCCACGCUGGGACGCGUUGGCGUGCCACGGGCCGAACUAACCGCGCUGGCUGCCGCGCACCACGCCAGGGUUGUUGGCCGCGUCGGGCAGCGGAGCAGAAGACGAGCCGCCGGGCUGAACAGCCGCGUCGGCGAGCCGCGGGUAGGUCGCGCCGUGCACAGCCGAGGGCGGAGAGCGGCUCGACCACGAGCGCCCGGGGUGCGGCUGUCGCGCACCAGGCGCCAGCGCCACAGCGAGCUCAGUGCUCAGCGCCUCCUGCUCCGCUGCUCGGCUGCUCCUGCCCAGCUGCCCUUCUCUCCUCUCCAGCGCAGCGCCUGCUCUCCAGCGCCCGUGCCGCGCCUCCUCUCCAACGGCCAGCGCCGCGCCGCUGCGCGCUCGCGGCCAGCCGCCGGCCAGGCCCAGGCCGCACCGCGGCAGGCGGCACUGCGAGGCACAGCACAGCCGCACAGGCGCCAGGCGCGCAACGCAGCGCGCUCGAGUCCGUAUGUCCGUAUCUUGACCGCCGUUGGGCUUGCAGGAGAGCCACGAUCUUGAGCUCCUUCCUUAUCUCUACAGUUUCUAUACCGACAAUUAGUGGUGUUUUUUGUAUUGUCUUUUGUGGGUCGGGAACCCUACAACCAAGAUUUGCCCUCUCUGCCACGGCGGCGGCGGUCAAGUCAAUUUGUAUGUACUAGUAUAUUUGUAUAAUUAUUAUCCAAAUCUUAGAUUAGGGGCACAAGCAAUUUCAAGGAAAAAAUACAUCUACCUAGAGGAGGAGAGGAGACGAUGUCGAAGUAAACAUUCAGCUGGUUUGGCCUGGCUGAUUAGGAAAAAAACAUCUACCCAAAACGGUAUGUGCAAGAUUAUUGUAUUUAUAAAAUUUGUAUCAACAUAUUUUUAGACUACAUAUUUCUUGAAUGUUUAAAUUAUAUCUUGCUUCUUGUGUCAUAUUAAACAUUAAUUAUAUUUUUUUUUGUUUAGUCUAAAUUUUUUGUUAUAGUCUUAACUUAGUAGCCCCUAUUUUGAAUCAAUCCUGGAUCCGCCACUACAGGGGAAUAUAGGGAAAGAGAGGGGCAUCUGGGCACACUUGCGACCGGUGGGCAGAGAAGGAGGUUGGCCGGACUGCCCGACCGAGCUCCGGCCAUGGCGGGCGGGUGCCACGCCGAGCACUACAAGAGGCGAGGAGGAGAGGGAUGGGGAGGGGGAGGGACGGGCCCACCUCGGACAGGUGCGCGGACGGGCGAACUUGGCGGCUCCUGCUGC